rnacentral:rRNA from 1 species
UACGGGAGGCAGCAGUGGGGAAUCUUCCGCAAUGGACGAAAGUCUGACGGAGCAACGCCGCGUGAGUGAUGACGGUUUUCGGAUUGUAAAGCUCUGUUGAGUGGGACGAACGGCAUUAUGGCUAAUAUCCAUAGUGAGUGACGGUACCACUUAGAAAGUUGUUCCCC